UCGAGCCUGCACGCAUUCUCCCUGGACGGGCUCAAGUCUGUCACGAUAACCUCUCCAUCUCCAUCUCGCCCCGACGCUCCUCUGCUUCCAGUCGCUGCCGGCCCUGUCCCAUCGCUACAUUGCUGAUACUUGCAUUGACCAUUUGGGGCUGCUAGCUUGUC